GAUGAACGCUGGCGGCGUGCCUAAUACAUGCCAGUCGAGCGAACAGACGAGGAGCUUGCUCCUCUGACGUUAGCGGCGGACGGGUGAGUAACACGUGGAUAACCUACCUAUAAGACUGGGAUAACUUCGGGAAACCGGAUCUAAUACCGGAUAAUAUAUUGAACCGCAUGGUUCAAUAGUGAAAGACGGUUUUGCUGUCACUUAUAGAUGGAUCCGCGCCGCAUUAGCUAGUUGGUAAGGUAACGGCUUACCAAGGCAACGAUGCGUAGCCGACCUGAGAGGGUGAUCGGCCACACUGGAACUGAGACACGGUCCAGACUCCUACGGGAGGCAGCAGUAGGGAAUAUUCCGCAAUGGGCGAAAGCCUGACGGAGCAACGCCGCGUGAGUGAUGAAGGUCUUCGGAUCGUAAAACUCUGUUAUUAGGGAAGAACAAAUGUGAAAGUAACUAUGCACGUCUUGACGGUACCUAAUGAGAAAGCCACGGCUAACUACGUG
rnacentral:rRNA from 1 species